rnacentral:rRNA from 1 species
AUUGAACGCUGGCGGCAUGCCUUACACAUGCAAGUCGGACGGUAACGGGCCUUCGGGUGCCGACGAGUGGCGAACGGGUGAGUAAUGCAUCGGAACGUACCUUUCAGUGGGGGAUAACGUAGCGAAAGUUACGCUAAUACCGCAUAUUCUGUGAGCAGGAAAGCAGGGGAUCGCAAGACCUUGCGCUGAUUGAGCGGCCGAUGUCAGAUUAGCUAGUUGGUGAGGUAAAGGCUCACCAAGGCGACGAUCUGUAGCGGGUCUGAGAGGAUGAUCCGCCACACUGGAACUGAUACACGGUCCAGACUCCUACGGGAGGCAGCAGUGGGGAAUUUUGGACAAUGGGGGCAACCCUGAUCCAGCCAUGCCGCGUGAGUGAAGAAGGCCUUCGGGUUGUAAAGCUCUUUCGGUCGGGAAGAAAUCGCAUGGGUUAAUACCCUGUGCGGAUGACGGUACCGGCAUAAGAAGCACCGGCUAACUACGUGCCAGCCGCCGCGGUAACAC